rnacentral:lncRNA from 1 species
UUGACCUUGUGGGGACAUUUUUGGUCCCCACGAGGAAACAAGCUUAUAGCAUGAAUCAUACAGAAUAUGUAUGAUUCAAAAAGUGUUUUGAAUCUAAAAAUUACCAGUAGUUUUGUGUGGGGGGUAUGUUUAAUGUAGAGUUAGGAAAUUGAAAAUCCAGUCUGUACAGUAUGAAAAACCAUUAUGCCUAAAUGACACCAUAAAACACGGAAACCUGUGUGUGUGUGUUAGAGGUCUUCACGGGUCCAAAAAUUCGUGCCCGAACCUGAAAGAGACCCGUGAUGUACUACACCGAACCGACCCUGACCCGUCUAUUAUUUCAAAAGCUGGACCCGGACCCAUGUAGAUCCGAGAAAUGCCUACCCGGACCCGACCUGGACCCGUAUACUAUUCUCGUUAUUCCAAGUCCAAGUUUAAUCCACUCAUUAUUUCAGCUUCAAAAUUCCACUUGAUGUCACGGUGACGGAUGACAAAUGCAACUGUGCACAUGUACAUUCUGACUCGAGUUAACUCGCAUAAUAACUUCAACUGUUUGCCCUUUUGAACUAUAAUAACGAUUGCUCGUUCAGUGCCAUGGCCACUGACAUUAUUUAUUUGCUAUCAUCUCUGUGCUCUGCUCUGCGUUGAGUCUGAAUCUGACCACUAAAACUUUAAGAUUAAACAGUUCAUUUAUAUUAUUAUAAAAAUGGGAGAAAAUGUAAAGCGCGGUUUGUCGGUCAAAGUCAUUGUGUGCCUCACUGGUUGCCAUAGAAACAUGACACGCCUUGAAACUGCACAUGCGUGCUAGCUGGAUCAACCUAAAAUAUGCUUUUUAACGCAAUUUGAGCGUCAUAGAAAACAUUCAUGUGACAGUUCACCUCAGAUUUUGUUGCUGAUCUGAAAUAUAUUAAAUAUGAGCGUGUCAAGUCUGCAAGCAUCAUUACCGUGCGUGCACUUGCAUUAACUCUGAGUCUGCGCGCUCUGUUUCUAACGGCAGAGAGAGAGAGAGAAAUCACUUUUUUUUCCUCACGCUUUUCUUUGUCUAAUUUUACAAGUUGCAAAAAACACAAGCAGUGUCUGAUCACGGCCGGGUUUUCUCCGAGUCCGAUGACUCCGAUCGCACGGGUAUUACACACAAUGUUAAACAGACCCGGGACCCGAAGUAAUAGAUUCGGACCCGACCCGGACCCGGCUGAUCAUUUAAAAUAUAGACCUGAACCCGUACGGGUCUCGGGUGCACUGUGAAGACCUCUAGUGUG